CAGUCUUAACUCCUAGGCAAGAAGCGCUGUCUCGAUCCAAAAAGGUUGAUCCAGCUUUCAAAGAAGACAGAUCUAACACAGAAUGGCAUGUGACAAGAGCAGCUCUGAAAGCAAAGGCGUCACCCAGGUUGAAGGAACUUGCAGAGCCUCGCCCUUGUGCAGAUGGCUGGGAAUUCAGUCGUCCGCUGUACUCGGUAUGCAGAUCUUUUGCCAGUCUUCCUCCUUUCCUGUCUGCUUAAAACCCAGUUGCCUUAUUAUAGUGGCAGUGUGAUUGCUGCUAUCAAAAUGCUCCCAGACGGUUAAGGCUCAACGUGAUCUCGCUGGUUCAAGGGUAAACUAUCUUCAGAUAUUACAGAGCCUUCUGAAUCAAAUAUGUUUUUGCUAUCAAUGACAUCAGAUAAUCUUUUUGGAAAGAGGGAUUCAAAUGUAAAGAAAAAGAAAACACAACUGUUAAAAUACAUCACAGGUUAACCAUCUACCCACCAUCAGGUGGUUUUGCCUCCAGAUUGCCACGAUGAGGGAUGGAAGA